rnacentral:rRNA from 1 species
UACGAAGGGGGCUAGCGUUGCUCGGAAUUACUGGGCGUAAAGGGCGCGUAGGCGGAUAGUUUAGUUGGGGGUGAAAGCCCGGGGCUCAACCUCGGAAUUGCCUUCAAUACUGGCUGUCUUGAGUGUGAGAGAGGUGUGUGGAACUCCGAGUGUAGAGGUGAAAUUCGUAGAUAUUCAGAAGAACACCAGUGGCGAAGGCGACACACUGGCUCACUACUGACGCUGAGGCGCGAAAGCGUGGGGAGCAAACAGG